GCUGGGCAGCAGUGGGUGGACGGUGCCUUUGCCAGAGCCUCAGGGAGGAGGGCAAAGCAUUCUUUUGAGUCCAUUCAGCGGCUCAGCUAUUUCCUGCCUUGCUCCGGCACCCGGCAUGCUCCACCUGCUCUUACUUAACCGUUUCCUGUUUACGGCCUGCCUCCUGCCGCCUUUGAGCUGAGUGGCAGCCAGCAGCCUGGCGUGAGCUCCCCGGAUGGAUGCAUGGACAGGCGAGGGGCCAGGCCACUGCCAACUCUUGAGAGAAUGGGACACUGCUCUCAGGAAGGCACACCCUGGUCCUUCCUUUCGGGCAGCUUAAUCAACUUCAGAGCAGGCAGCCCCGGCCAGGCCUUCCCCAGGGUUAGGACGUUGGCCUUGGAGAAGAGGAUGCUUCCUGGGCCCAGGCUGACUCAUGAUAACUGUAGGGGCUUUCUGAAAAAGGCAGUAUGGUUGUAUGCCUUAAGGAAGAUCUCUAUGUAAUGAAUGUCAAGGACAAAAUAAGAAGCAGUAAAGAGCCCAUCCACCGUGAGUUGUCCUGGAAAAGCCAGCUGCAUCUGCAGAAGAUUCCCAGACAACCCCCAGCUAGAGACCAUCCUCGUUUUCGAAUUCUCUCUCCUUGCUUCCAAAGACACUGUAUGCAGAUUUUUUUUUUAAAAAAGCUCUAAGAUAUUUUUAUAUUGUGGUAUGUGCAUCUAGUUCCAUGCUUCGAACAGCUUCCAACAUUCCACAGUGUGUGCCCACCACGUUUAACUUCACCAUUUACUUGGAGAUGGACAGUUAGGCUGCCACAAACAUGGCUGCAGCAAAUAUCCUGAGGACUGUACAAGAAUUGCUUGGACUGGGAGCCCCAGAAAUUUUGCGACUACCACUCCCGGCUCCCUACCCAUCUCUUACCCAGGGUAAUCACUGUUCUGCAUCAUCAUAGACUAGUUUUCUUGUUCUUAAACUUUAAAUAAAUGGAAUC